GGCCGUAAAUAUGGAUUCAUCAUUUCCCAAACAUUGAACACUCUUUACAUGUGUCGAUUUUCCUUUGGAUAUUUCUAUUGAAUAGAUGUUCUGAACGGACACCGUAUUUUAGAAAGUAUCCUUUUUGUUCAUCUUCACUUUGACUCCUAUGCUCUUGUUUCAAUCCUCUCCCAUGGUGUCUUCAUCCCUUCCUUUGAUUGAGC
rnacentral:lncRNA from 1 species